AACGAACGCUGGCGGCAGGCUUAACACAUGCAAGUCGAACGCACCUUUCGGGGUGAGUGGCAGACGGGUGAGUAACGCGUGGGAAUCUACCCUUCUCUACGGGAUCGCUCCGGGUAACUGGAAUUAAUACCGUAUACGUCCUGCGGGAGAAAGAUUUCUCGGGGAAGGAUGAGCCCGCGUUGGAUUAGCUAGUUGGUGGGGUAAAGGCAUACCACGGCGACGAUCCAUAGCUGGUAUAAGAGGAUGAUCAGCCACAUUGGGAAUGAGACACGGCCCAAACUCCGACGCAAGGCUGCAGAGGGGAAUAUUAGACAAGGGGCGCAAGCCUAAUCAAGCCAUGCCGCGUGAGUGAUGAAGGCCCUAGGGUUGUAAAGCUCUUUCAGUGGGGACGAUAGUGACGGUACCCACAGAAGAAGCCCCGGCUAACUUCGUG
rnacentral:rRNA from 1 species